rnacentral:rRNA from 1 species
AUUGAACGCUGGCGGCAUGCCUUACACAUGCAAGUCGAACGGCAGCACGGGUGCUUGCACCUGGUGGCGAGUGGCGAACGGGUGAGUAAUACAUCGGAACGUACCUUAUCGUGGGGGAUAACGCAGCGAAAGUUGCGCUAAUACCGCAUACGCCCUGAGGGGGAAAGCGGGGGACCGUAAGGCCUCGCGCGAUUAGAGCGGCCGAUGUCUGAUUAGCUUGUUGGUGAGGUAAAAGCCCACCAAGGCGAUGAUCAGUAGCUGGUCUGAGAGGACGAUCAGCCAGACUGGGACUGAGACACGGCCCAGACUCCUACGGGAGGCAGCAGUGGGGAAUUUUGGACAAUGGGGGCAACCCUGAUCCAGCAAUGCCGCGUGAGUGAAGAAGGCCUUCGGGUUGUAAAGCUCUUUUGUCGGGGAAGAAACAGCAGCUCUAACACAGUUUGCGAAUGACGGUACCUGAAGAAUAAGCACCGGCUAACUACGUGCCAGCAGCCGCCGUAA